GGGGGGGGGGGGGGGGGGGCGUAGCAGAGGCAGGUCGAACGGAAGGGCCUGUUCGGGGGGGCUCGAGUGGCGAACGGGGGGGUAACACGUGGGUGAUCUGCCCUGCACUCUGGGAUAAGCCUGGGAAACUGGGUCUAAUACCGGAUAGGACCGCACUUUAGUGUGUGUGGUGGAAAGUUUUUUCGGUGUAGGAUGAGCCCGCGGCCUAUCAGCUUGUUGGUGGGGUAAUGGCCUACCAAGGCGGCGACGGGUAGCCGGACUGAGAGGUUGGUCGGCCACAUUGGGACUGAGAUACGGCCCAGACUCCUACGGGAGGCAGCAGUGGGGAAUAUUGCACAAGGGGCGCAAGCCUGAUGCAGCGACGCCGCGUGGGGGAUGACGGCCUUCGGGUUGGAAACUCCUUUCGCCAGGGACGAAGCGUUUCGUGACGGUACCUGGAGAAGAAGCACCGGCUAACUACGUG
rnacentral:rRNA from 1 species